AUAAGCAUGUCUGACAAAAGAGUUACUUUGAUAGAGUAAAAUAUAGGGGUUCAAACCCCCUUGUUUCUA
rnacentral:tRNA from 1 species